rnacentral:rRNA from 1 species
GAUGAACGCUGGCGGCGUGCUUAACACAUGCAAGUCGAACGGUGAACGAGGGAGCUUGCUCCCUCCGGAUCAGUGGCGAACGGGUGAGUAACACGUGAGCAAUCUGCCCUGGACUCUGGGAUAAGCGUUGGAAACGACGUCUAAUACCGGAUACGAGGCGUGGGGGCAUCCCCAACGCCUGGAAAGAAUUUCGGUCCAGGAUGAGCUCGCGGCCUAUCAGGUAGUUGGUGAGGUAACGGCUCACCAAGCCUACGACGGGUAGCCGGCCUGAGAGGGUGACCGGCCACACUGGGACUGAGACACGGCCCAGACUCCUACGGGAGGCAGCAGUGGGGAAUAUUGCACAAUGGGCGCAAGCCUGAUGCAGCAACGCCGCGUGAGGGACGACGGCCUUCGGGUUGUAAACCUCUUUUAGCAGGGAAGAAGCGAAAGUGACGGUACCUGCAGAAAAAGCACCGGCUAACUACGUGCCAGCAGCCGCCGUAACAC